rnacentral:rRNA from 1 species
UAAGGAAUAUUGGUCAAUGGACGCAAGUCUGAACCAGCCAUGCCGCGUGAAGGAUGAAGGUCCUCUGGAUUGUAAACUUCUUUUAUCUGGGACGAAAACGGGAUUUUUAUCUCAAUUGACGGUACCAGAGGAAUAAGCAUCGGCUAACUUCGUGCCAGCAGCCGCGGUAAUACGAAGGAUGCAAGCGUUAUCCGGAAUUAUUGGGUUUAAAGGGUGCGUAGGCGGACUAAUAAGUCAGUGGUGAAAGCCUGCAGCUUAACUGCAGAAUUGCCAUUGAUACUGUUAGUCUUGAGUACAGUUGAGGUAGGCGGAAUGUGUCAUGUAGCGGUGAAAUGCUUAGAUAUGACACAGAACACCGAUUGCGAAGGCAGCUUGCUAAGCUGUAACUGACGCUGAGGCACGAAAGCGUGGGGAGCAAACA